GAUAUAGUGGCAGACGGGUGAGUAACGCGUGGGAACGUACCUUUCACUACGGAAUAGCUCCGGGAAACUGGUGGUAAUACCGUAUACGCCCUUAGGGGGAAAGAUUUAUCGGUGAAAGAUCGGCCCGCGUUGGAUUAGCUAGUUGGUGAGGUAAUGGCUCACAAAGGCGACGAUCCAUAGCUGGUCUGAGAGGAUGAUCAGCCACACUGGGACUGAGACACGGCCCAGACUCCUACGGGAGGCAGCAGUGGGGAAUCUUGCACAAUGGGCGAAAGCCUGAUGCAGCCAUGCCGCGUGAAUGAUGAAGGCCUUAGGGUUGUAAAAUUCUUUCGUCAGGGAUGAUAAUGACCGUACCUGAAGAAGAAGCCCCGGCUAACUUCGUGCCAGCAGCCGCGGUAAUACGAAGGGGGCUAGCGUUGUUCGGAAUUACUGGGCGUAAAGCGCACGUAGGCGGACUUUUAAGUCAGGUGUGAAAUCCCGGGGCUCAACCUCGGAACUGCAUUUGAAACUGGAAGUCUUGAGACCAGGAGAGGUUAGCGGAAUACCGAGUGUAGAGGUGAAAUUCGUAGAUAUUCGGUGGAACACCAGUGGCGAAGGCGGCUAACUGGACUGGUACUGACGCUGAGGUGCGAAAGUGUGGGGAGCAAACAGGAUUAGAUACCCUGGUAGUCCACACCGUA
rnacentral:rRNA from 1 species